UUUAANUAUGGCAGAAUAAUGUGAUGAAUUUAAGCUUCAUAAAUAAAGUAAUUUCCUUUUAUUANAAAUUUUUAAAAAAUGGCAACAUGAAGAAAUUUAAAUUUACAAAAUAGAGCCUCUCCAUUUAUAGAACAAUUAAUUUUUUUUCAUGAUCAUAU
rnacentral:tRNA from 1 species